rnacentral:rRNA from 1 species
CAGCAGCCACGGUAAUACGUAGGGUUCGAGCGUUGUCCGGAAUUAUUGGGCGUAAAGGGCUCGUAGGCGGUUUGUCGCGUCGGGAGUGAAAACCAGCAGCUUAACUGCUGGCCUGCUUUCGAUACGGGCAGACUUGAGGCAUUCAGGGGAGAACGGAAUUCCUGGUGUAGCGGUGAAAUGCGCAGAUAUCAGGAGGAACACCGGUGGCGAAGGCGGUUCUCUGGGAAUGUUCUGACGCUGAGGAGCGAAAGUGUGGGGAGCGAACAGGAUUAGAUACCCCCGUAGUCCCUGUCUCUUAUAU